rnacentral:ncRNA from 1 species
UUCUUCAGGGCAGGGUGCGAUUCCCUACCGGCGGUAAAGCCCGCGAGCCGAAAGGCCGAUCCGGUGAGACUCCGGAGCCGACAGUACAGUCUGGAUGGAAGAAGA